rnacentral:rRNA from 1 species
AUCGAACGCUGGCGGCAGGCCUAACACAUGCAAGUCGAGCGAGCGGCGGACGGGUGAGAGAUGUAUGUGGACUGCUCGCUUGCGGGGGAUAACUACAGGAAACGGUGGCUAAUACUGCAUACUCUCUGAUAUCCCCUAUGGGAUUAGCUGGUGGGUAAGGUAAUGGCUUACCUAGGCGACGAUACCUAGCUGGUCUGAGAGGAUGAUCAGCAACACGGGGACUGGGACACGGCCCAGACUCCUACGGAGGCAGCAGUGGGGAAUAUUGCACAAUGGGCGCAAGCCUGAUGCAGCCAUGCCGCGUGUAUGAAGAAGGCCCUAGGGUUGUAAAGUACGUUCAGUCGGGAGGCGUUACCGACAGAAGAAGCACCGGCUAACUCCGUGCCAGCAGCCGCGGUAAUUC